rnacentral:rRNA from 1 species
UAGGGAAUUUUCGGCAAUGGACGAAAGUCUGACCGAGCAACGCCGCGUGUGUGAAGAAGGUUUUCGGAUCGUAAAACUCCGUUGCUAGAGAAGAACAAGGACGUUAGUAACUGAACGUCCCCUGACGGUAUCUAACCAGAAAGCCACGGCUAACUACGUGCCAGCAGCCGCGGUAAUACGUAGGUGGCAAGCGUUGUCCGGAUUUAUUGGGCGUAAAGCGAUCGCAGGCGGUUUCUUAAGUCUGAUGUGAAAGCCCCCGGCUCAACCGGGGAGGGUAAUUGGAAACUGGAAGACUGGAGUGCAGAAGAGGAGAGUGAAAUUCCCUGUGAAGCGGUAAAAUGCGUGGAUAUAUGAAGAAACACCGGUGGGGAAGGCGGCUCUCUGGUCUAUAACUGACGCUGGGGCUCGAAGGCGUGGGGAGCAAACAGG